GCUCCAAAAAGCCAAGGAAGACGCGGAAGAAGCAUACAAUGCAAUAUCAGAAAUUGCUAACAAAGAGAUGACUCGCUACAACAGGCAAAGGGUGUUGAGCCUGCAGGCAAGUCUUGUCCAGUACGCUGAAUCGCGGUUAAAGAACGGAAGAGAUACGUACGCCAUAUUAGCCAAACUAAUGAAUGACUUGAAGAAGUCUUCCUAAUUCACCACAAAAUGAAGUAAAUGUCUCAAACUUUGUGGGAAGUUAUACUUUUUUUACUCCUUUUUUAAGAAAAAUGUCAAACCUCGCAUGAAUAUAUAUGUUACGAAUGAAGUGCAUUCAAGAAUACAAGUGAUAUUAAUGUAAAAUGAAAAUUUAAGGAGAAUCGCAUUGUGUGGACUUCAAAUGAAACGCCAGUCUGCCAUAAUCACUUCGUUUCCAUUGUUUGGAGUAACAGUUGCUAAAAGUAUCACUUAGGAGAUAAUAAGUGAUGUUAGAAUUUUGGAAUAUUGAUAAUAGCCUUGAAUUAUCAAGAUUAAGGUACAGUUAUCCAGAGCAGAUAGUCCUUUUAUUCAAAUUCAAAAAUUUCAAUCUGUUGGGUUGGAUAAUUAAGAGCAUUAAAGUUUCCUUGCAAUUUAAAAGUAUAUAUAUAUCUAUCUGGCUUUGAUGUAUGCCUUCCUGAUCUCAUUCAAACGUUAAUCCAGAGACUCGUGUUUCUAGAAAUUAGAAAUGAAUUUUUUUCAAAUCGAGAAUGUCCCUUGUACCGUUCAUUUUUAAAGAAAUUAAACCAGUUAUUAACAUG